rnacentral:misc_RNA from 1 species
UUUCCGUAGGUGAACCUGCGGAAGGAUCAUUACAGAGAUCAUGCCCUCAUGGGUAGAACUCCCACCCUUGUGUAUUUAUACUAUGUUGCUUUGGCGAAUUGCGCAACCUCUUGGUUGUGCCUCGAUUUUUCGAGAGUCGUUCGCCGGAGGAUACUAAAACUCUGAAUAUUAAUGUCGUCUGAGUACUAUAUAAUAGUUAAAACUUUCAACAACGGAUCUCUUGGUUCUGGCAUCGAUGAAGAACGCAGC